rnacentral:rRNA from 1 species
CCUACGGGGGGCUGCAGUGGGGAAUAUUGGACAAUGGGGGGAACCCUGAUCCAGCCAUGCCGCGUGUGUGAAGAAGGCCCUCGUGUUGUAAAGCACUUUCAGUGAGGAAGAACGCCUGGUGGUUAAUACCCAUCAGGAAAGACAUCACUCACAGAAGAAGCACCGGCUAACUCCGUGCCAGCAGCCGCGGUAAUACGGAGGGUGCGAGCGUUAAUCGGAAUUACUGGGCGUAAAGCGCGCGUAGGUGGCUUGAUAAGCCGGUUGUGAAAGCCCCGGGCUCAACCUGGGAACGGCAUCCGGAACUGUCAAGCUAGAGUGCAGGAGAGGAAGGUAGAAUUCCCGGUGUAGCGGUGAAAUGCGUAGAGAUCGGGAGGAAUACCAGUGGCGAAGGCGGCCUUCUGGACUGACACUGACACUGAGGUGCGAAAGCGUGGGUAGCAAACAGGAUUAGAUACCCCUGUAGUC